rnacentral:rRNA from 1 species
UAGGGAAUCUUCCGCAAUGGGCGAAAGCCUGACGGAGCAACGCCGCGUGAGUGAUGAAGGUCUUCGGAUCUUAAAACUCUGUUAUUAGGGAAGAACAAAUGUGUAAGUAACUAUGCACGUCUUGACGGUACCUAAUCAGAAAGCCACGGCUAACUACGUGCCAGCAGCCGCGGUAAUACGUAGGUGGCAAGCGUUAUCCGGAAUUAUUGGGCGUAAAGCGCGCGUAGGCGGUUUUUUAAGUCUGAUGUGAAAGCCCACGGCUCAACCGUGGAGGGUCAAUGGAAACUGGAAAACUUGAGUGCAGAAGAGGAAAGUGGAAUUCCAUGUGUAGCGGUGAAAUGCGCAGAGAUAUGGAGGAACACCAGUGGCGAAGGCGACUUUCUAGUCUGUAACUGACGCUGAUGUGCGAAAGCGUGGGGAUCAAACAGG